UAAACAUCACCAUGCCUCUCUGCUUUGGAC
rnacentral:piRNA from 1 species